UGAAUGCCUUGAAUGGUUGUUGAUCGGUAUUGAAUGCUUGUCUUUUAUAUGAGCCUUGGAGAUGAGGGAGAGCCAGGUGUAGGGCUCCUUCCCAUUGGUGGACAGAGUGGAGGUUGACCUCUUUUCCUCUCUUAGUCCCAAGUCAGGCCUUGGGGCUUGUGACCAAGGAGUCGACAAAGGCUAUUUCGGUGAUGCAUGGAGACCCGUAUCAUCUGCCGAGUCAGGCGGUAGGUAUGAUACUUCUUCCGAGAUGUUAGAUGGCGGUCAAUGCCCCCUCUCUCUCUAGGACCGGUCAAGUUAGAGCUUGCCGGAGGCAAGCUCGUCCUCCUUGACAAACCCCUUGCUCUAGCCUCCAAGCCACAUUCCUCCGUAGGUCCCGAGCGGGGUACCUAGGCCCUGCUCCCGGCCUAGGAUGGUGUAUAGAGUCGCCUUUAAGAGUUCGUGGAGUCUUCGAAGUGUCGAGUAGGAGGUGAGGUGCCCGGAGGUGACCUCACCCCUCCGCGGGUGGAGAAUUCUUGGAGAAAGCCUUGCUCCUCCGGAGACGCAGUUUGUGGAGGAAGCUUUGCUCCUCCCGAAGGUGAACAUUGUGGAGGAAGUAUGUUCCUCCGGGAGGUGAAUCUUGUGGAGGAAGCAUGCUCCUCCGGGAGGCGAACUUUGCGGA